GUAGCGUCCGGGACUCGGCCGAUAUGAGACAACAUAGUAAGGCAAUAUAUGAAUAUUCAUUAGCCGGGCGGUGCUGCGGGCAGGGCGGCGGUUACAACACAGUGGCAGUUGAAGGCAGUAACCCCGCCUUUGCCAGUUAAGUGCUAAUUUUAAUACACAGAAAAAGACCUGUAACGGGCAAACGGUGCAGCGGAUCCGGGCAAGAUCGGACUCAGUCUGGUUGAGGAGCUACUGGCCGGAGCGCUCUCCCACUGCCCGCCCACACCCGGAGGAUCACAGAAGUACGAAGGAUAGAUCUACCGGAGCAGCUUCCAGCCACACGAGAUAUAACAUCGAGGGAGCAGAAGUGUCUUCGUUUUUUACCCCACUACAUCUCCAGCUCGUUUAAACCAUUUGUUCAUAAAUCUAAUACACAUUCUCAGUGACAGUGAACUCUACUGACAGACUGGCAGAAUACAGACUUCGGAAUUUAUGAUGCAAAAAUUCUAAUCUGUGAACAGUACUGACCCCUGAUGGGAGAACCAGUGACUCAGAACCAACCUCUAAAGACUGAUAUAUUCAGAAUCCUCAGGAUACUAUUCUCACUUGUGACCUCCAGACUUCCUUUGAAGAAUUUCUUAUUUCUUUUCUGUAUCACUGACCUCACUAAAGUUUUACCUAGACAUACUGUAUUUUUCUGUUCUUUAUAAUCAAAAUCUGAGGAAUGACCAUUUAAAGAAAACCCAAGGUGGUGAAUAUAAGUUGUACCUGAGACCUGAUGGCCCCCAUCAUAAGUCAAAGGGAUCUAUUACACAAUGGGUCCAUCAUAAAUACCAUUGCUCUG